rnacentral:rRNA from 1 species
UACGGAGGGAGCUAGCGUUAUUCGGAAUCACUGGGCGUAAAGCGCACGUAGGCGGAUUGUUAAGUCAGGGGUGAAAUCCUGGAGCUCAACUCCAGAACUGCCUUUGAUACUGGCGAUCUUGAGUCCGGGAGAGGUGAGUGGAACUGCGAGUGUAGAGGUGAAAUUCGUAGAUAUUCGCAAGAACACCAGUGGCGAAGGCGGCUCACUGGCCCGGUACUGACGCUGAGGUGCGAAAGCGUGGGGAGCAAACAGG